rnacentral:rRNA from 1 species
UACGUAGGUUGCAAGCGUUGUCCGGAAUUAUUGGGCGUAAAGCGCGCGCAGGCGGUCCUUUAAGUCUGAUGUGAAAGCCCACGGCUCAACCGUGGAGGGUCAUUGGAAACUGGGGGACUUGAGUGCAGGAGAGAAGAGUGGAAUUCCACGUGUAGCGGUGAAAUGCGUAGAGAUGUGGAGGAACACCAGUGGCGAAGGCGACUCUGUGGCCUGUAACUGACGCUGAGGCGCGAAAGCGUGGGGAGCAAACAGG